ACUGUGCUAGAUUUUCUCAUUUUACCUUGAAGGCAUUAAAAAUCGUUUGCUUUUGAUUCGAAAACUUCGAACUUUGUCAUGGUCAACAAGGUCAAAAAAUACAUCCUUUCCGAUCUGUUCUGCCAAAUCCUCACUCCGAGCAACCUGCAUGUCACAAAAACAUGUAAGAAGAAAAUUUCUUCAUGAACUUGAAAAUGAAAUAUAGAUAAGAAACAGCAAAAACCUUUAUAAUAGUAUAGAGAUGAGCUUCGGCUUUCUCCUUUUUCUUAUGUUCCUUUUCCUCUUGUUCUUUCUUUAAUCUAAUCUGUAAAUAAUGUGUACCCAUAUACAACACUUUGUAAGAAAAAAAUAUAAGCAUGUAUUAAUGCAAGAAAUUUUAUAUGUUAUCCCCUUAUUCAUACCCUAAGAUGUUCAGCUAUGUCUUUCUCAUCCACAUUACAAAUAAUUCUAUCCUUGUCACUUUCCCGAAUAUAUACUAACAUAUACGCAUUUGAAUAUUUCGUAAACUUGAAAGGUGCGUUAUUGAAGCCUGGAUUUGUUUGUGGCAACUGCAACAUACAAAUAUUCAAUGCACGUGACGUCAUGACCUGACAAAUUUAAAAAAAAAGUGGAAAAUACAGUGCUCCCAUUGAGUGUGUACUGGUAUUACCUCUUCUUCACCACCAUAUUGCUCCUCCAAUGCUCUCUUUAUGUCUUCUUUUGUUACUCUCUCAUCAUCAAACUUAAACCUGAAGAAGAAGAAGGGUCAUAGUGCACUUUAAUCAUCCAACACUAAAAGUAAUUAAUGUAUUCUAAUUAUUCGUUAUUCUUAACUAGUUAACUUCAAGUCUUCAAUAGUUGCAUGCUAAACUUGAAAGACUGGUUGGUGGUGUCAUGCAAACUCCAAUGUCCCUCUUUGGGGAUCGGAUCAAGUAGCUAGAUCAUGACAUGAUCAGGUGAUGGUGUCAUGCUCUCCUCUCAAAUGUAUAUAGGGAGCUCUGGAUUAGAACUUCUCCCUUAGAGAAAAUGAAAUGGCUUACCUUUUCUUCCCUUCACCUCCUAUUUAUAGUUUCUAUCUUUGGCUUGGUCAACCAUAGAAGAAAAAAGGGGUGACGGUUUGCAAAUUACCAUACUAGUGAGCCAAACCCCUAAUUUAGUCAGACCUACAGUCCAUGACAAUCCUUAGUCGAUUAUCCUGAAUUGGAUUCCUAAAUCAAAUUAAAUCCUUAUAAUUGGAUUGAGGAAUGAUAAUGACCAAUGUUUCCUAUGUGACGUUUAUGCCUCUUGAAAAGUGGAGGCGCUUUUCGCUUUUUUGAAUUACGAGGAACCCCCAAGCUUGUAAAUACAUGAUCGUGCUGUUUGCCAAGACCUGGCGCACUGCCUCUUAGACGCGCUUCAGACGCCAGGGGUGUUUUGGUAAUUAAUAAACAAUUAUAUAAAUUUCAUAUAUUUUUAGAUAUCCAUAAUUUUCAAUACUGAAUAAUAGUAUAGUAGUAAUAGUGUAAUACUAAUACAAAAUACUUUAAACUAGUAAUAUAUAAUAAAAAUUAAUGAUAGUAUAGUACUAAUAGAAGUAUGGGGGAAAAUCCACUUCAAAACCUGUCGACGGAGAAGUUGCCGGAGGUGGCAGCACGGAAUGGGGGAGGUUUGGCCAGGAUUGAGGGAGAUUUGGGAAGCUUUGGGAGUGGUCUUACGUUUUCCUUUCCAGAACUGGAAAACGGUUCUGAAAAACACAAGGGAGUCCUAAAUUAUAUCGGAUCUGGCUCCAGAUUCGACCCGGAUCCGAUUUGGGUCCAAUAACUGGAAGCGCCUCCAGGUAGAGCACAUGCGCAAAAGUGCGUCUGAGGAUAUCAGGAGAGGAAAUGUGACAGAAUCUAUAGAAAAAAUUACACAGAGCUUGUUGCUGAGGUACACACUGACUAGUACUAGCUUUUCUAUCCUGGCACAUCUAGUGUGAAAGGAUUAAAGGAAUAGUAAGCAGCACACAAUAAGGCCCCCAGAAAUUGUCAGCAGGGAACUAUUGACGUAUGUGAGAAUUGCACGUGGUGUCACACCCUAUAAGAAAAGAAAUUUGUCGUUGAUUGAAUUUCAAGCUAUAUUCCCAUGGGAUUCCGACCUCUUGAGACAUUAGUCCCAUAGCUACUUAAUACCAGAAUCAUAGCUAGAUAAGAGAGUGAUAAUGUUACUACUUGUUCUGUUUUGCAUUAUGCUCUUUCAAAUCUGAGGAUUUCAAAAAAGGUUUUAUAAAAUUGUAGAUAAUCACAAUGCAUGUAUAGUAGACCAACCUCCUGCGGCAACACACCUAGUUACUUCAUCAUUAAGUGGCCAUGCUAUAUAGGAAAGAGUUUAGAAGCAUAGAGCACCCCUAUUUAUCUUUAUUUUAUCCUCAAUGCAGCAUGGGCAUUACCCUUAAUUGUUCAUUAUUGAGAAAUCUUACUUACAUCAAAAAUAAAAAUUAACAACAAUACUAUUACCAUUGAUCGGAAAGAGAUGGCCUGAUGAAAGCAUAAUAAUGACCACCAUGCACUCCACCACUGUGAACGAGAACACUGCAUAAUACCAAAAAAAAUCAUAGAAAUCGUAAAAAAAUGUACAAGCCAUACAAAUCCUACAAAUAUGAAUAGUCACAGAUCACAGUUAUUACUGAUAAUUUUCAGUUUGAAAGUCAGACAUAAAUAUAUAUUUUUGAAAUCAUAUUUGCUAUUUAGUCCAUUAAUGAUCCUGGUUAUUACUUAUAAAUUAUAAUGUCGUGAACUAAAUUCAUCAAACAAAAAGGAGAUUUAUGUUGGAACAUAUUUGAUGAUUUUUUUUAUUAAGUUUAAUAAUCCUUCAAAAUCGCGAUCUACAUUCCAUUAACUAAUUAGUUAGUGUAGAAUGUAGAUUAGAACUUAAAUGAUUUCAGUUAAAAUCUAAUCUAAAACCCAACUACCCAAGUGUACAUAAACAUAAUCAAUACAUGUUUAGAGGGGUCGAUCAUUUGAUUCCCCCACCUUCUAUCACUCAUUCACUCUACAAUUCAUUCAUAGAAGAUCAAUUGGGUUUCUUUAAGACAUCAACAUUUAAGAAGUAACUCAUGUUCCUGAUGAAUGUGUUGGACAUUUUUUAACGGUAAGAAAAGACUUCGAAGAAACAAUAGCAUUUUCCCUAAUUGAAGUUCAAUUGGGUUUCUUUAAGACAUCAACAUUUAAGAACUAGCUCAUGUCAAUGUUGGAAAUUUUGGAAAUUUUUUAACAGUAAGAAACUGAUGUAAAAUAAAAAUUAUAACAAAAAAAUUACAGAGGGCAAAAUAUAAGGAAAUUACAGAUCAGUUAUUGCAUCAAAAUAUAAAAAUAAGAAAACUUUUAUAAAAAAUCCAAUAAUUAAGAAAUGAGAAUCACAAUAUUUACCUAUGUAAAGUAUAUAGGUUACGAACACUUCUAUCAGACUCUGGGGAAAGAUACUUUCUAUUGUCUCUAUCAAGGUCUAAUUGCAAAGGGAACUCGUAACGAUCAUUGAUCUGCAAAACAUAUUUGAAUAAAAUGAAAAUCCAAACACAAUUUCUCAAAUUUUACACGGUUUGUGAAGGGAAUGAAGCAAGGUUAACAUUAACUCCAGGGACUAAAGUGACUAGACCUCUAGAAUCUAACCACAGCAUCACAAAAGUUAUACUUUUAACACAAGACAUACCUUUACCAUCGUAUCCCGCAUAAAAUCGUAUUCAAAACGUUUAAGUUGAAGUUGCAACACAGGUGGGAAAUCGGUAAAGAGUAUACCUUUCUUAGCAUCCUGAAACGUGAUGUAUAUUAAGAAUUAAGAGAUGUCUUGAACAGUUGUAUACUUGUAUCAGCAUUUCCCGAUUUGAGAAUUAAUUAUAUAUAAUUGGGAAUUGGGAAAAUUAUUGUUGUUGCUUAAUAUAUAUUACACUGAAUAUUAUUAUUAUCUGCAAGUUAAAAAACAAACCUAACAAUGAAUAUUUUUUACUGUUAUUUUUAUGAGAUUAAAAUUUCUCAUUAAUAAAAAUGAAGGGCAGUGCCCUAAAAUACAAAAGAUAAAAACAGAAAUAAAGGGAGAUGGCUUAUAACCCAUCGACAAUACUGAGGGAUGUGAGCAUUGCUUAUAAUGCCACAUCUUAUAAGAGAAACAAUCUGUCAAAGAUUGAAUCACAAGCAAUAUUCCUAUGGGAGUCCAACCUCUUGAGGCAUCAGUCCAUGGCUAACUAGUCAUGGUCACAGACAUAUAAAAAAGCGAAAAUGUCUUUACAUUUACUGUAUUUGCAUUUCCCUAUAUUUGUAACCUUAGGGCACUGCCUCACCUUUAUUUUUCAAAAAUGAAGUUUUUAAUUCAUCAAAAAAAAAUCCAAUACAGCUGUGUUAUCCAGUUUUAGUAACUAGAUACACUGCCUCAAGACUUUGGUCUUCCAACAUUGUAAUGUGGAUAUCUUCAGUGGAUAACAGAAGCCCUUCUUAUGACAAUAUGGUUUAAAGGAGAUGUUGAUGUUCCUGAUUAUCA
rnacentral:lncRNA from 1 species